ensembl:lncRNA
UUGUUCUGAGCUGUGUUUGUUAACACUAGUUAAAGUGGUCCAGUACAGAGAGAAUCCAGAGUUGGUGACUUUACUGUUGGAGGUUCUUGGCUUCUCCCUCAGUCUGGAAGGACAUUUACCCAGUAAAACCUGCAGGUCUGUGGGGAGAUUCUUACGUUUCUCUUCUGACAGACUCAACCUCACUCUAAAACCUAAAGCCGUCUCUCUAAGAGGAACAAGGCUUCUUUUCAGACACAUCAAAAACAUACACACACUNGCAGUUUUUGACUUUAUAUUUAUCAUGGCAUAGAAAUAAAACAAAAAUUCUGUAUGUGUAGACUAUCUAAAGAAACUCUCCGGAAGCUGGUUGAAUUUGUCUGUGAAGCUCAGGAAGAGGAACUGACUCAGUGCUUCCUGCAGAAAGUGGGUGGAGAUCUGACUUCCUGUUCCUUGAGCUGGGAAGAGCUUCACUAUUUCCUGCAGCACAAGAUUCCACACAUCACUGUGGACCUCAGAAAGAGCAACAUUGGAUGUAAUGUCAGAAAAAUGUUGCCAUUUUUUAACAGGAUUCAAUUUAAACGGAUCAGCUCUACCUUCAUGCUGUCUGUAAUCAGAGAGAUCUAUGAGUCCGGCUCUGUUGGUUUUGUGUCCAGUCUGUUGAGUUCAGUUGAGAACUACAUUAACCUGCAGAGCAGAGAGCUGGACUCUGUUCACUGUGCGGCCCUGCGCUUCACACUGCAGCACUGCACUGCAGUUUCACUCAAUCUACAGUGGACCUCCAUACCAGAGGAAGAGCUGGAGAGCAUUCUGCCUCUCUUCACACAUGUGUCCCACCUCAGUGUUGACAGGCUGCUAUUACGGAAGAUGAUGCACUGCUGCAGUGUCUCUGACAUCCAGCAAGAGACAGCAGCAGUUCUGCUCUCCAUCCUGCAGCACAAGUUGGACUUCUCCUGCUGUUCUGCUCUGGAUCUGACAGCAAACACAGACUCAGAGCCUCUACAUCUGACCAUUGAGGACUGCUGUGUGAUGUCCAGAGUCAUUCAGAGUGCUCAUUCAGACACAAAGACACAACUGAUUCUGCAGGACUGUGAGAUUAAUACAGCUGGAAUUGAUCAGCUGUUCCCAGUGUUACAUUCUGUUAAACUAUGCUGUGCUAAAUCUCUACUGCUUCAGUUUCUGGCUCAUGUGAGGCCUGAGGAAGCUAAGUCUCUUUCUCAAGCGCUGGGUGAAGAGCUUAACCUCAGUCAGACUCAGCUGAAUCCGCAGGUCUGUAGAGGUCUGAAGCUGAUUCUGGAAUAUUCUGAANCAAAUUAAGAAAUUCUUUAAUGGGAUUAAAUAACCCAGAAUUAUUCAAAGGAAUCAGAAUAAUUAAAUUCUUUAAUAUUCUCAUCCAUACUUAUAAAGGCUCACUAUUACCUUAGUAGCCUUUAGCAAAACAGCUAAGCUAUUAUUUAAUUGAAUCUCAGAUGGUAUUGAUAUGUCCAGAAUAUGUUCUGAUCUAGUGUUUGUCUGUGUUCAGUGUUGACAGGCUGCUGUUAAUGAAGAUGUUGCACUGCUGCAGUGUCUCUGAUGUCCAGCAGGAGACAGCAGCAGUUCUGCUCUCUGUCCUGCAGCACAAAUUGGACUUCUCCUGCUGUUCUGCUCUGGAUCUGACAGCAAACACAGACUCAGAGCCUCUACAUCUAACCGCUGAGGACUGCCGUGUGAUGUCCAGAGUCAUCCAGAGCGCUCAUUCAGACACAAAGACACAACUGAUUCUGCAGGACUGUGAGAUUAAUAAAGCUGGAAUGGAUCAGCUGUUCCCA